rnacentral:tRNA from 1 species
AAUGGCGAGCCUGACUUAAAGGAUUAUCGUGAUAGGAUAAAACAUGUAAAAUAAAAUUUACCACCAUUA